rnacentral:rRNA from 1 species
GAUGAACGCUAGCGAUAGGCUUAACACAUGCAAGUCGAGGGGCAGCAUAAAUGUAGCAAUACAUUGGUGGCGACCGGCGCACGGGUGAGUAACGCGUAUGCAACCUACCCAUAACAGGGGGCUAACACGGCGAAAGUCGUGCUAAUACCGCAUAACACAGGGGUCCCGCCUGGGCAUAUUUGUUAAAGAUUUAUUGGUUAUGGAUGGGCAUGCGUUCCAUUAGGUAGUUGGGAAGGUGGUGGCUUACCAAGCCAUCGAUGGAUAGGGGUUCUGGGAGGAAGGUCCACGACAAUGGUACUGAGACACUGACCAGACUCCUGCGGGAGGCAGCAGUGAGGAAUAUUGGUCAAUGGGCGAGAGCCUGAACCAGCCAAAUCGCGUGAAGGAUGACGGUAUUAUGUAUUGUAAACUUCUUUUAUUAGGGAAUAAAGUGCAGGACGUGUCCUGUUUUGUAUGUACCUAACGAAUAAGCAUCGGCUAACUCCGUGCCAGCCGCCGCUGUAA